UAAAUAAAAUCUUUAAAAAAUAAAAAAAAUAAUAAAUUUUUAAAAGUAUACUUGCAUGUAGUUUGAUGAGUUAAAUAGUUCUGUAAGACUUGUUAUGAAAAACAAUGAUCCCCCAAAAAAACCCAAAAAAACAAUGAUCUCUUGCCACUCAGACCCCGUUUCCAACUCCUCAGAGGCAACCACUUUCCACUUUUCCAGCUAAUUCUUUGUCUAUGGACUUCUCACUAUGGAAGAUGAGGGUUUAGCUCAUUUUCCCCUCCCUGUCCCCACUGCACAACACACGUCCCAUCCCCGCUUACUCCUAAUUUAGUUAUGUCGUAAUUUUCUUUAGAUCGACAUUCACUGUUAAUGUUUUUGUCUUUGUAAACUCUAUUCACGGCCUCCGUAGUAUACUACGAUCACUGUUUCCUGUACAACACACUGUUUUUGCUGGAGUUAAUAAUCACUUUACUUUUCUCAUUUGCUGAGUAUUCCAUGUACCUGUUAAUAAUUCAACCCUGACCACCCCCGUUUGUGUACAGGUCUCUAGUCAAUGUGCUCAUUACACCAGCUGCUCUCAAGGUUGCGUCGUGCUGGACGGACCCGUCCCUUGGUCGGCCUUCUGACCCACUCCCAUCUGGACUAGUUCCCUUCCAGGCCUUGGCCACAGCUGCCGCCUUGGGCUCUUCCCUCAUCAACUGCUAGACAGUCCCUUUGCUCCUCAUUUUAUUGGCUUCCGGCUGAGUCCCAGUCCUUCUUCUUUCUCAGUUUACAAUCUUGUUUCGGCAGAGCACACCCUGAGUGGCUUCCUGAGACAGUGGCUAGGUGCGCAGAAGGCAAAUUUUUGAGAUCUUUCCUGAAAAUGUUUCAUGUUCCCACUUAAUUGCUGCGGGUCAGACAUCGCUGUCCUCAGAAUUUGGAAGGUCCGGUUCCAUCGUACUCUAACUUCCAGGGUCACUGCUGAGAAAGCUGAUGCCAUUCUGAUUCGGGAGCCCUUCUCACGCAACCUUGAUGUCACUGAUUUUUAAAAAAAUUGUUUUCAUCCUCGAAACUCGUCUUCUCGUUGUCCCCAGUGAGCGGCCCUAGCAGCUCCAAGGAUGAGCAGGGGCAGUUCCCAGGGGUCCGGGACCUGGGCACAGCUGGGCCGGGGGCCGCCCGCCCGCCGCCCGCAGCAACACGGAGCCAGCACCCCGGGCACGCACCCCACGAGGGCUGUGCUUCCAGGUGACUCAGCGGCGGCCGCCCUCGAGCGCCCCGACUGCGGCCUGGAGACCUCUGCCCGCAGCACGAGGGCCCUCCCGGCCUAGGCCCCUGGCGGCGGCCUCCCCGAACGAGGGCGACCUACCCGAAGCCACAUACAGUCUGGGAGGUGACAGCCCUUCACCUUGCCAGGCCCUGUGGUGACAAGGGUUCCGAGGCCCGGCUGCCUCAGGGCGAGGGCAUUGCCGGACAGACGCCAAGGGGCAGGGGCUCGGCGGCCCGCACCCAGAGCCGCCUCCCAGGCCGGGCAGCUGGUGACCAGCUGAGCUGGGCCCUGGGUGAGGCGAGGGCGGCGGCCGCAGGAGCUCCGCAGGGGACAGGCUGCCCCCGCCCCGCGACGCCAGGCAGGAAGGGCUUCCGGGAGCAGCAGCUGUGGACGGACACCCCACAGAGGAGUGGGCCGUAGCCCAGGUGCACCCGGAGGGGAGAGCAUCCCGGGCCGCGGGAAGAUGCCGAACGCCAGGUGUGGGAAGCAUCGCAGUGGGUUCUGGAAGCUACCCAGCAGAGCCCGAGCAGGGAUUUAGCACAGAGUAAAUGCUCCAUGAAUGUUUACUGUUCACUGAAUCAUCUGAAUGAAUGAAAGCGUUGUAGGCCUCAUGAUAGACACUUGCAGAGCUGAGCAGAGCGGGGAACCAAGGGGAUCAUUUCAGGAGGAGAAGAGAGCAGAGAAGUCAAGAAGUCGCAUGUGGGACAGUUUGAGAAAGGGAAGGGGAUGUGCUUCUUUGGCCAAAGAUCACACUGUCAACACCCUUCAAACCCAGAAGAGAUGUGACUAGGACAACGGACCAAUAACCAGAGGGUUUAGAGGCAGAGAUCCUGGCCUUAGCCCUGACUCUGAAGAGAAACCAGGCCGAGAGGGCCUGACAGGGAGCCCCUGAGCCCAUAGAGGCAAACACCCUGUUUUAAAGAGGCAUGCCAAAGAGAUUGUGUAUGCUUCAGACCAGCAGUUUAUCUCCUAUAAUUUGGCCUAAGCAAAUAAUGACAAGUGAGAGCAAAGGUGAGUCCAAGGAUUUUCAUUACAGCAUUGUUGAUAAGGCCAAAAGCCGCAAAAAGCCUGCACAGCCGCAGGGGGAUGGUUCCUAAGGCCUGAGUCACAUGAUGAAAUGGUAUGUAGUCCUUAAACGGCAUGUGGAGACCUGCGUACUUACAGAUUUGAAAAGGUGCUCGAGAUACAUAUUGCACGAAAAGCCACAUUUCCAAGCAGUGUGUUUGAUGACAUUUCAUUUUGACUGUUUUAUAUCUAAGUAUGAGACAAAAAAUAUAUUGGUUAGCUCUGGUUGGUGGGCCUACAGAUGAUUUGUGUGUGUCUCUCUCUCUCUCUCUCUCUCUUUUUUUUUUUUUUUUUUGCUUAUUUUUGAAAAAUUUCCUGCAAUAAAUAUAGCUGGUGCAGAUAAUAAACAUGAAAAGAAAAUCAGAAUAAAUAAGAUCUACACUGUCCUCUAGGGAUGGAGGUUAGUAGUGUGAUCCGACAGGUGUAAAUUGACUAAAGGGAAAAGCACUUGGGAUUCCCAGGGAGCAAUAUUCCUAGGGGAGAAACCUCGGGCCCCAGGGAUCCUCAGGGGGAACAGGGAACCCUCCUCAAACAGAGCAGGUGUUGAAACCCAGUCAACUAGCGCUAAUCAGCUCCAUUACCCUCAGCUCAAGGCAUAGCCUGCCAGGUGUGGGGAUAAUGGGAUUAAAAAAGCAAGAUUGGUUCUAGGGCCACAGGUGGUGUCCGCAGGCACCAGCUCCGCGCCAGGCCUCCAGGCAAGUGCCAGCCCUUCCAGGCACUGGGGUAUCUGACCCUUGUACUGAGGGCCUGGCUGGUUCCUGCGACUCGAUCUCAGGGUCGUGAGUGCAAGCACCACGUUGGGUGUAGAGAUUGCUAAGAAAUAAAUAAAUGUAUGGGUGCCUGGGUGGCUCAGGUGGUUGGAUGUCUGCUUUCAGCUCAGGUCAUG